rnacentral:tRNA from 1 species
GGGCAGGUGGCGGAAUGGUAGACGCGCUAGCCUUAGGAGCUAGUGGAGCAAUCCAUGGGAGUUCAAAUCUCCCCCUGCCCA